GAUGAACGCUGGCGGCGUGCCUAACACAUGUAAGUCGAACGGUGAGCCUUGCUUUAUAGUAAGGCGAUCAGUGGCGGACGGGUGAGUAACACGUAGGUGACCUGCCCCAAAGAGGAGAAUAACCAUACGAAAGUGUGGCUAAUACUCCAUAUGGUCGGCCAUUCGUUUGGUCGAUUAAAGCUUCGGCGCUUUGGGAGGGGCUUGCGGCCCAUCAGCUAGUUGGUAGGUAACGGCCUACCAAGGCUAUAACGGGUAGCUGGUCUGAGAGGACGAUCAGCCACAAUGGCACUGAAACACGGGCCAUACUCCUACGGGAGGCUG
rnacentral:rRNA from 1 species